rnacentral:rRNA from 1 species
AUUGAACGCUGGCGGCAUGCCUUACACAUGCAAGUCGAACGGCAGCACGGGAGCAAUCCUGGUGGCGAGUGGCGGACGGGUGAGUAAUACAUCGGAACGUGCCCAGUAGUGGGGGAUAGCCCGGCGAAAGCCGGAUUAAUACCGCAUACGACCUGAGGGUGAAAGCGGGGGAUCGCAAGACCUCGCGCUAUUGGAGCGGCCGAUGUCGGAUUAGCUAGUUGGUGGGGUAAAGGCUCACCAAGGCAACGAUCCGUAGCUGGUCUGAGAGGACGACCAUCCACACUGGGACUGAGACACGGCCCAGCCUCCUACGGGAGGCAGCAGUGGGGAAUUUUGGACAAUGGGCGCAAGCCUGAUCCAGCCAUGCCGCGUGCGGGAAGAAGGCCUUCGGGUUGUAAACCGCUUUUGUCAGGGAAGAAACGCUCUGGGCUAAUACCCCGGGGUAAUGACGGUACCUGAAGAAUAAGCACCGGCUAACUACGUGCCAGCCGCCGCGGUAAAAC